GGAUUAGAUACCCUGGUAGUCCACGCUGUAAACGAUCAUCACUCGCUGUUGGCGAUACACAGUCAGCGGCCAAGCGAAAGCAUUAAGUGAUGCACCUGGGAAGUACGGUCGCAAGAUUGAAACUCAAAGGAAUUGACGGGGGCCCGCACAAGCGGUGGAGCAUGUGGUUUAAUUCGAUGAUACGCGAGGAACCUUACCAGGGCUUAAAUGCAGAACGACAGAUUGGGAAACCAGUUUUUCUUCGGACGUUUUGCAAGGUGCUGCAUGGUUGUCGUCAGCUCGUGCCG
rnacentral:rRNA from 1 species